rnacentral:tRNA from 1 species
UGGGGUAUCGCCAAGUGGUAAGGCUGUGGGUUUUGAUUCCACCAUCGAAGGUUCGAUUCCUUCUACCCCAA